rnacentral:rRNA from 1 species
AAUAGAUACCCUGGUAGUCCUAGCCGUAAACGAUGGACGCUAGGUGUUGGUGGUAUCAACCCCACCAGUGCCGAAGCUAACGCAUUAAGUGUCCCGCCUGGGGAGUACGGCCGCAAGGCUAAAACUCAAAGGAAUUGACGGGGCCCCGCACAAGCAGCGGAGCGUGGGGUUUAAUUCGAUGCAACGCGAAGAACCUUACCAGGGCUUGACAUAACCAGGAAUCCGGCGGAAACGUCGGCGUCCCGCAAGGGACCUGGCCACAGGUGUUGCAUGGCUGUCGUCAGCUCGUGUCGUGAGAUGUUGGGUUAGGUCCCGCAACGAGCGCAACCCCUAUCGUGUGUUGUAUCACUCACACGAGACUGCCGAGAGAAACUCGGAGGAAGGCGGGGAUGACGUCAAGUCAGCAUGGCCCUUACGUCCUGGGCUACACCCACGCUACAAUGGCCGGUACAACGGGCUGCGAAACCGCGAGGUGGAGCUAAUCCCUUAAAGCCGGUCUCAGUUCGGAUUGUAGGCUGCAACUCGCCUACAUGAAGCCGGAGUUG